rnacentral:rRNA from 1 species
AUGAACGCUGGCGGCGUGCUUAACACAUGCAAGUCGAACGAUGAAGCCCAGCUUGCUGGGUGGAUUAGUGGCGAACGGGUGAGUAACACGUGAGUAACCUGCCCUUAACUCUGGGAUAAGCCUGGGAAACUGGGUCUAAUACCGGAUAGGAGCGCCUACCGCAUGGUGGGUGUUGGAAAGAUUUUUCGGUUUUGGAUGGACUCGCGGCCUAUCAGCUUGUUGGUGAGGUAAUGGCUCACCAAGGCGACGACGGGUAGCCGGCCUGAGAGGGUGACCGGCCACACUGGGACUGAGACACGGCCCAGACUCCUACGGGAGGCAGCAGUGGGGAAUAUUGCACAAUGGGCGAAAGCCUGAUGCAGCGACGCCGCGUGAGGGAUGACGGCCUUCGGGUUGUAAACCUCUUUCAGUAGGGAAGAAGCGAAAGUGACGGUACCUGCAGAAGAAGCACCGGCUAACUACGUG